GAUGAACGCUGGCGGCGUGCCUAAUACAUGCAAGUCGAGCGAACAGACGAGGAGCUUGCUCCUCUGACGUUAGCGGCGGACGGGUGAGUAACACGUGGAUAACCUACCUAUAAGACUGGGAUAACUUCGGGAAACCGGAGCUAAUACCGGAUAAUAUAUUGAACCGCAUGGUUCAAUAGUGAAAGACGGUUUUGCUGUCACUUAUAGAUGGAUCCGCGCCGCAUUAGCUAGUUGGUAAGGUAACGGCUUACCAAGGCAACGAUGCGUAGCCGACCUGAGAGGGUGAUCGGCCACACUGGAACUGAGACACGGCCCAGACUCCUACGGGAGGCAGCAGUAGGGAAUCUUCCGAAAUGGGGGAAAGCCUGACGGAGCAACGCCGGGGGAGUGAUGAAGGUUUUCGGAUCGUAAAACUCUUUUAUUAGGGAAAAACAAAUGGGAAAGUAACUAUGCACGUUUGGACGGUACCUAAUCAGAAAGCCACGGCUAACUACGU
rnacentral:rRNA from 1 species